UUCCCGGGCCUCACGUGAGGAAGGGAGCCCGAGGCACACGCAGGGCAUGGCACAGGCAGUGUAGCAGAGAGAAAUGAGGCUGGGGUUGAGAGGCGUUUAAAGUCUGUGUUACAGACUUUAUUCAUCGCGUGAGCGAUGUGCAUUUCCCUGGGGGUUUAGGUAUCUGCUUAGAAACGAAACUUGGUCUUUCAUGACUUGCGUUAAAAAAUAGUCAUGCCUGCUCACCAACCUGCUUAAAAUCCAGAGCCUCCAAGUGCUCCAUAAUGAUAGAGAGCUAGCACUACCUGCUACAUCAGGAAAGGAAUCCUGCUCCCACAGAAAAAUGCAGUUAUGGAAAUCUGUCUUUUUAAUGCUGCUACAAAAGGAUAAAGCACUUUGCAAAGGUCUGGUCUCCCCAGACUCACUGUUCUAGCUCCAAGUAAGAUAAGGAAUAACAAUUGCUCAUAAAUGUAAAAAGAGGAGGAGGAGGAAUACGAGAACAUGGAUUAGAGAUCAAAGCUGCAGCGUUUUGUGAAUGAUGAGGAACAAAGAGAUGACAGACUUUUAUUCCAGAAAAAGUCACUCUCCAGUGAGAGAAACAAGGUCUUCCCAAACUUUGCUGGUGACAGAAGGCAAGGAAGGGUAAUUGAUGAGCCGUAGUGCAGAUGUUUACAGAGCUGUUAAGAUUUAUAUGUGAAGACUGUUCAACCCUGAAGAUGCAGUGUUUUCUGUAAGGAAGAAUGUGACAGGUCCAUGAGAGACAACCUUUUCAAUUUCUCUUCCUGUCAGUGUAAUCCUUCAUGAACUGCAAAUUACCCACCUGCAGUUCUUGGGUGGUACAGUACUCAGUGCAAAGGACUAGACUAUUU